rnacentral:rRNA from 1 species
GGACUUUUACUGUGAAAAAAUUAGAGUGCUCCAGGCAGGCCUAUGCUCGAAUACAUUAGCAUGGAAUAAUAGAAUAGGACGUGUGGUUCUAUUUUGUUGGUUUCUAGGACCGCCGUAAUGAUUAAUAGGGACAGUCGGGGGCAUCAGUAUUCAAUUGUCAGAGGUGAAAUUCUUGGAUUUAUUGAAGACUAACUA